UAUGUAUUUUAAUAUUCUAAUAUAAUAUAAGUAUAAAGAUAGGUAAAAUACUUAGCGAGAUAAAUAGGGGUGCUCUCCCCCAAGCUGAAUUUUGACGUAAUUUCUCUUGAUGUAGCUAGCAGGUGGCAGAGGUAUAUUUGAAAGUCAGCAGCAUUCUGACAGCGAUUAGAAUGUCCUCCGUCUGCUAGUCUUCUUGAUUCUUAAAUUCUGUGGAGCUCAAAUAGACAACAAAGCUUGUGGAACUAAUUAAGUGUUAGCAUAAAUAUCUAGCCUUCAUCACGUUGAGCUUCCUCAAUAAAUAUUACUCCCUGUUUUUAUAUUUUUAUUUUAUAAAGUAGAAAAGAAAUAUUUAUUUUAUUUUUAUGCCACCAUAGUGAAGGUACUUAUGGGUUUUAUGCCACUCGUAUACUCACAUGGGGCUUAGUAUUUUUUUAACAUUUUUAUUUUCUUUUCAAGAUAGCAUGAUUAACUAAUAAUCUAUUUAAGGAAAGUAAAUAAUUACAGGGAAAAGGGAAUGCAGAAAGGAUAAAUAUGGAUAACUACCAAUCUUACCUUUCGGUGAGGGUUCAAUGUUUUAAGUCUUCUUGACAAGACUUCUCACCGUGUUCAUUCUUCAGGUGCGUCAUUUGAUUCAUGUGCGGACCUUGACGUCUGCACCUUUUAAUACGGUGUCACCCAUGUUCUUCGUUUGCCCAGCAGUUCGAAGUGAGGUGUUAGCAGUAUCUUGCUCAGUGUGUUUGUGCUCGUAGUGUACCUGCUCAUAGAGACAAGGCAGAGAUCAAGUGUAUGAGCCCUGUUGGUGGAAAACACCAACAGAACCAAAAGUGUAUUUGUUCUUCUCUAACCUUAAGCAUAGUGAGCAAGACAAAGUUGAUGGAUGAUAAGUUCAUGAGUGUAGCACUUAUAACAUUUGUCAGAUCAGAUCGCUCAACCUUAUGGAAAGAUAAUCUAUCUAUGUAUAUGUCUUUUUCUUUAUAUCUCUCAAUGAUUGAAUGUGUAACAUUUUAGCUCAUAUGAUUAGGAGUGUGGGAUCAUGGAGGUAGUACUAAGAACAAGGAUUAAAGGACUAAACAUGUUGAAUCAGUUGGGUUGGUUAAUCUAGAGUUGUAAAUCAUACACGUUUGUCUCUUUUAUUUAUAUGAACGCCAGAACCAAGGAGAAGCUUAUAAAAGUGAUAGUCAAAUACCUUAGGAUGUUACCUUGCUUGAAAAGUGAUGGUACAGUAUCACCUUGUGGAAGCUUUCCUUUCUUAGCGGUUGUGCAUCGUGUUCGUGGCACCCUCCAUGGAUCAUCUCUCUAUGAUGAAUGAGCUAUGUCCUUCUUGUGCAAAUUGUUAAACUUCAUGUGUCACUCUCUUCGUCUCUGAUGUGAGUUUAUCUCAGGACUUCCCAAAUCGAUAUUGAAAGUUUUUCUGCAGGGGUUAGUCCGACAAAAUAUACCAAUAU
rnacentral:lncRNA from 1 species